rnacentral:lncRNA from 10 species
CCUCUUACUCUAAUUGAAGACCAGCCACAGGAAAAUCUCUAGGCACCUCUUCAAGUGAGAUGGCAGACCACCUCAGGAUGGAAAUGUAUUUCUUCAUCCCCCUCUCUACUUCCCUGUGACCUCCUGCAAAUAAGGGAGAGACAAAGAGAAGAGCAGAAGAACAGAAGAAUGGAGUGGCAAAGAGAAGAGAAGGAGUGACUGAACAUUGACAAGACUUUGGUUGGGGAUGGUCAGAGAGGAGAUUAGCUGCUAGACGGCCACACUGCGGAGAAAGAUCAUUUUCCCACUCCAUCCCCCUUCCAGCUCCCCAUCCAUCUCACCAAGAGCCAGCUCCACCACUCAAUAAAACCUUACAUUCAUC